GUGAGGAAUAUUGGUCAAUGGACGGAAGUCUGAACCAGCCAUGCCGCGUGCAGGAAUAAGGUCCUAUGGAUUGUAAACUGCUUUUAUUCGGGAAUAAACCUCUUUACGUGUAGGGAGCUGAAGGUACCGAAGGAAUAAGCACCGGCUAACUCCGUGCCAGCAGCCGCGGUAAUACGGAGGGUGCAAGCGUUAUCCGGAAUCAUUGGGUUUAAAGGGUCCGCAGGCGGGCUAUCAAGUCAGAGGUGAAAUCCCACAGCUUAACUGUGGAACUGCCUUUGAAACUGAUGGUCUUGAAUUAAGUGGGCGUUGGCGGAAUAUGACAUGUAGCGGUGAAAUGCAUAAAUAUGUCAUGGAACACCGAAAGCGAAGGCAGCUAACGAUACUUAUAUUGACGCUCAUGGACGAAAGCGUGGGUAGCGAACAGGAUUAGAAACCCGGGUAGUCC
rnacentral:rRNA from 1 species